ensembl:lncRNA novel transcript
AGCAAAAAUAUCAGAUCGGCUGCACAGAAAAAUGGCUCAAAGUGCUUAAUGACCAGAAGAAAUCUGGGAGCAGCAAGAAGGUGUGGGGCUGGGUAUGGUCACUCCUGCUGGAUGUCUAGAAGGUGAAAACCAAGGACCUAGGAAAAUACCAGAUACAGCCUUUCCACCGUCAUCCAGAGCAGGACAAACACGCCAGGUGGUGUCAGGAGCCCAGGUCUCCAGCUGGAGGGAAUGUCAACCCUGCAGUGGGAGCCCAUCAUGCAUCCUAGGCACAGAUGCUAACGUAGGCACCGCAGGAAUCCCAGUGAAUAUAUUGCCACCAUCUUGGAGCUCAGUGCCCUCAUAGUGUAACAGCACCAGCAGAUCUGCCUGUGCACAGACUUCCUGUACUACCUCACUCCUGAGGGGAGAUGCUUCUGCAGGGCCUGCGACCUGGUGCACAACUUUAGACACCAUCAUCCUGGAGCGGCACUGCACCCUCACUAGCCAGGGUGUUGAUGACUUCCUCAAUGCCAAGGCCACGUUCAAGAUUUUCGACUUCAGUGAUGCGUUUGUGCUGAGCAAGCCGUUUUGCACACCCUGGUCAGAAUGAAACAUUCCUUGGGAACUCGGGCCGUGAGAAGCAUCCUUCCUGAUCACCUGACUGUAGAAACAUCCUUAUCGCACCCUCCCGGGCAAAGGCCCAACAGCCUGACUGCAGGAACAUCCUUGCCAUAUCCUGCCGGGCAGCAAGCUCUACCGCCCACACCCCUCCUUCCCAGUCCCAUGAUCACCCCAGCCUGUGAGAGGCAGUUGGUGCUGGCAGUAAGCUGGUUUCCUCCUCUGCAGGGUUU